rnacentral:rRNA from 1 species
UAAAUAGCAAUUGCUAAUUGCACUAAAAAAUUUAGUGUAAAAUCGAUUUACUCGAAUAAAAUUCUGGGUAGAAUUUUGAUAAUGACAAUAUCUAUCCAUAAGUCUUGACCAAAUUACGUGCCAGCAGUCGCGGUAAUACGUAGAAGACAAGUGUUAUUCAUCUUUAUUAGGUUUAAAGAGUACUUAGACAGUAAAUAAAGCCUCAAAAAGGGACUAGUUUGCUAGAGUUUUAUGUGGAGAAGUAUUAAAGUACUACUGGUGUAGUGAUAAAAUACAGUUAUACCUUACAUGGCACAGGUUAAGGCGAAGGCAUCUUCUUAUGUAAAAACUGACGUUGAAGGACGAAGGCUUUGUGUAUCGAACAGGAUUAGAUACCCUAGUAGUCUAAGCAGACAAUGAUGAAUGUCAUGGAUUAGAAAAGAUUUUGAUCUGUAAAUGAAAGUGUAAGCAUUCCACCUUAAGAGUAAUUUGGCAACAUUGGAACUGAAAUCAUUAGACCGUUUCUGAAACCAGUAGUGAAGUAUGUUGUUUAAUUUGAUAAUCCGCAAAAAACCUUACCACAAAAUAUGAAUAGAUAUAUUAUAUCAUACAAGCGUUGCACGGCUGUCUUCAGUUAAUGUCGUGAGACUUUGGUUAGUUCCAUAAAUUAACGUAAACCCUUAUUUUAUUUUUAGAUAAAGUAGUUCACCGCUAUAUU